rnacentral:rRNA from 1 species
AUUGAACGCUGGCGGCAGGCUUAACACAUGCAAGUCGAGCGGGGGAAGGUAGCUUGCUACCGGACCUAGCGGCGGACGGGUGAGUAAUGCUUAGGAAUCUGCCUAUUAGUGGGGGACAACAUCUCGAAAGGGAUGCUAAUACCGCAUACGUCCUACGGGAGAAAGCAGGGGAUCUUCGGACCUUGCGCUAAUAGAUGAGCCUAAGUCGGAUUAGCUAGUUGGUGGGGUAAAGGCCUACCAAGGCGACGACCUGUAGCGGGUCUGAGAGGAUGAUCCGCCACACGGGGACUGAGACACGGCCCAGACUCCUACGGGAGGCAGCAGUGGGGAAUAUUGGACAAUGGGGGGAACCCUGAUCCAGCCAUGCCGCGUGUGUGAAGAAGGCCUUAUGGUUGUAAAGCACUUUAAGCGAGGAGGAGGCUACUUUAGUUAAUACCUAGAGAUAGUGGACGUUACUCGCAGAAUAAGCACCGGCUAACUCUGUGCCAGCCGCCGCCGUAA